UACGGGGGGGUAAGCGUUGUUCGGAAUUACUGGGCGUAAAGGGCUCGUAGGCGGCCAACUAAGUCGGACGUGAAAUCCCUCAGCUUAACUGGGGAACUGCGUCCGAUACUGGAUGGCUUGGAUUUGGGAGAGGGAUGCGGAAUUCCAGGUGUAGUGGUGAAAUGCGUAGAUAUCGGGAGGAACACCAGUGGCGAAGGCGACUUCCUGGCCUGUUCGUUGACGCUGAGGCGCGAAAGCUAGGGGAGCAAACGGG
rnacentral:rRNA from 1 species